UGAACUCGCUCGCCUUAAAACGAUUGAUCUGGACUUUGGCCUUUGGCUGGUUUGACUGGGCGUUAUAAGUUAUUUCGCUUAGGACAUCCCUCGGGAUGGCCGUCUGAAGGACAAGGUCUCGCUUCCGAGCGCUUCACGCUCGAUGAAGCAUUUUUUUGACAUCUGGCCUCAAAUCAGGUAGGACUACCCGCUGAACUUAA
rnacentral:misc_RNA from 1 species